rnacentral:rRNA from 1 species
AUUGAACGCUGGCGGCAUGCCUUACACAUGCAAGUCGAACGGUAACAGGUUAAGCUGACGAGUGGCGAACGGGUGAGUAAUGUAUCGGAACGUGCCCAGUCGUGGGGGAUAACUGCUCGAAAGAGCAGCUAAUACCGCAUACGACCUGAGGGUGAAAGCGGGGGAUCGCAAGACCUCGCGCGAUUGGAGCGGCCGAUAUCAGAUUAGGUAGUUGGUGAGGUAAAGGCUCACCAAGCCGACGAUCUGUAGCUGGUCUGAGAGGACGACCAGCCACACUGGGACUGAGACACGGCCCAGACUCCUACGGGAGGCAGCAGUGGGGAAUUUUGGACAAUGGGCGCAAGCCUGAUCCAGCCAUGCCGCGUGCGGGAAGAAGGCCUUCGGGUUGUAAACCGCUUUUGUCAGGGAAGAAAAGGUUCUGGCCAAUACCUGGGACUCAUGACGGUACCUGAAGAAUAAGCCCCGGCUAACUCCGUGCCAGCCGCCGCAGUAA